rnacentral:rRNA from 1 species
UACGUAGGGACCAAGCGUUGUUCGGAUUUACUGGGCGUAAAGGGCGCGUAGGCGGCUUAACAAGUCACUUGUGAAAUCUCCGGGCUUAACUCGGAACGGCCAAGUGAAACUGUCAAGCUAGAGUGCAGAAGGGGCAAUCGGAAUUCUUGGUGUAGCGGUGAAAUGCGUAGAUAUCAAGAGGAACACCAGUGGCGAAGGCGAGUCCCUGGACAACUCCUGACACUGAGGCACGAAAGCUAGGGGAGCAAACAGG